rnacentral:lncRNA from 1 species
AAUUCAAUUUUAUUUAGCUGAACAUAAACAAGUGUAGAAACAAAUGGAUAAAAGCUCAACUUUAUUUAACAGAAUGAUAGACUGUAAAUGACAAGACUCCAUAGAUCUUUACAAAAGUUGAAAAUGGUAAUUUACAUGGAAAAGGGCUACAUUGAAUACAAGUAUCACUAAUCCUUCUACCAACUUCAAUAUCCGUUGCGCUCUUGGUUUUGGUUGAGA